AGCGAACUGAAACAUCUAAGUAGCUGCAGGAAGAGAAAGAAAAAUCGAUUUCCUUAGUAGCGGCGAGCGAAGAGGAAAGAGCCCAAACCAAGUGAUUUAUCAUUUGGGGUUGUAGGACUGCAACGUGGCAGCGUGAGUGAUAGCAGAAUUAUCUGGGAAGGUAAGCCAGAGAGGGUGAGAGCCCCGUAAGCGAAAUUGCAAGCGCGCCUAGCAGAAUCCUGAGUAGGCCGGGACACGAGAAAUCCCGGUUGAAACCGCGAGGACCAUCUCGCAAGGCUAAAUACUAAUUAGUGACCGAUAGUGAACCAGUACCGUGAGGGAAAGGUGAAAAGAACCCCGGAAGGGGAGUGAAAUAGAACCUGAAACCGUGUGUCUACAAGUAGUCAAAGCACAUUAAAGUGCAAUGGCGUGCCUUUUGUAGAAUGAACCGGCGAGUUACGUUAUCUAGCGAGGUUAAGUCAGAAAAGACGGAGCCGGAGCGAAAGCGAGUCUGAAUAGGGCGAGAAGUUAGGUGACGUAGACCCGAAACCAAGUGACCUACCCAUGACCAGGCUGAAGGCGUGGUAAAACGCGCUGGAGGGCCGAACCCACG
rnacentral:rRNA from 1 species